rnacentral:rRNA from 1 species
UACGAAGGGGGCUAGCGUUGCUCGGAAUCACUGGGCGUAAAGCGCACGUAGGCGGAUUGUUAAGUCAGGGGUGAAAUCCUGGAGCUCAACUCCAGAACUGCCUUUGAUACUGGCGAUCUUGAGUUCGGGAGAGGUGAGUGGAACCGCGAGUGUAGAGGUGAAAUUCGUAGAUAUUCGCAAGAACACCAGUGGCGAAGGCGGCUCACUGGCCCGAUACUGACGCUGAGGUGCGAAAGCGUGGGGAGCAAACAGG